CGGUCCCAUUCCGAACCCGGAAGCUAAGGCCACCUGCGCCGAUGGUACUGCACUCGACAGGGUGUGGGAGAGUAGGACACCGCCGGAC
rnacentral:rRNA from 2 species